GCGGACGUGGCGAAAUGGUAGACGCGCAAGGUUUAGGACCUUGUGGGGCAACUCAUGGGGGUUCGAGUCCCUUCGUCCGCACCG
rnacentral:tRNA from 2 species